rnacentral:rRNA from 1 species
GAUGAACGCUGGCGGCGUGCCUAAUACAUGCAAGUCGAGCGAACAGACGAGGAGCUUGCUCCUCUGACGUUAGCGGCGGACGGGUGAGUAACACGUGGAUAACCUACCUAUAAGACUGGGAUAACUUCGGGAAACCGGAGCUAAUACCGGAUAAUAUAUUGAACCGCAUGGUUCAAUAGUGAAAGACGGUUUUGCUGUCACUUAUAGAUGGAUCCGCGCCGCAUUAGCUAGUUGGUAAGGUAACGGCUUACCAAGGCAACGAUGCGUAGCCGACCUGAGAGGGUGAUCGGCCACACUGGAACUGAGACACGGUCCAGUCUCCUACGGGAGGCAGCAGUAGGGAAUCUUCCGCAAUGGGCGAAAGCCUGACGGAGCAACGCCGCGUGAGUGAUGAAGGUCUUCGGAUCGUGAAACUCUGUUAUUAGGGAAGAACAAAUGUGUAAGUAACUAUGCACGUCUUGACGGUACCUAAUCAGAAAGCCACGGCUAACUACGUG